GCGUUGUCCGGAUUUAUUGGGCGUAAAGAGCGUGUAGGCGGCUAGAUAGGUCCGCUGUGAAAACUCGAGGCUCAACCUCGAGACGUCGGCGGAAACCAUUUGGCUAGAGUCCGGAAGAGGAGAGUGGAAUUCCUGGUGUAGCGGUGAAAUGCGCAGAUAUCAGGAAGAACACCCGUGGCGAAAGCGGCUCUCUGGGACGGUACUGACGCUGAGACGCGAAAGCGUG
rnacentral:rRNA from 1 species